rnacentral:rRNA from 1 species
UACGUAGGGGGCAAGCGUUGUCCGGAUUUACUGGGCGUAAAGCGCGCGUAGGCGGUCCUUUAAGUGUGGCCUGAAAGCCUCCGGCUCAACCUAGGAAGUGCACUCGAAACUGCGGAGCUUGAGUCUCGGAGAGGAUCGCGGAAUUCUCGGUGUAGAGGUGAAAUUCGUAGAUAUCGAGAGGAACACCGGUGGCGAAGGCGGCGAUCUGGACGAUGACUGACGCUGAGACGCGAAAGCGUGGGGAGCAAACAGG